ACCUUUUUAAUGAUUGAUUGAUUGUUGGUUGCUUAACGUCCAGUGGCAAAUAUUUCAUGCAUAUUCAGGACGAGAACAAGUUCACAAUAAAUAAAAUAGGUAGGUUGAUGGUCGGGGGAAAUUUGGACUGCCACUGGAAAAUGAGGGUAUAUUGGAUAGGGACAGAAAUUUUGGCUUGCAACAGGCCACCUACGGACCAAUCAAAGAGUUGUUGCAAGGGUUCUUAACGUGCAAAGAGCGUGCCACUCUCUUUACACGAGGCAUCGGAUUAAACGUCCCCUUCUGACCGGACGUGACUGCGAACUUGAUACAUCCCGCACAGCCAAACGGACGCCCCACUUCGGCAAGCGUUUUACUGCCGGUCGGGAGAUUUUUGGUAUUCAACGAAUAAU
rnacentral:lncRNA from 1 species